AAUGAACGUUGGCGGCAUGGAUUAGGCAUGCAAGUCGAGCGAGAAGGGUUUUGAAGCUUGCUUUAGAACCCGGACAGCGGCGAAAGGGAGAGUAACGCGUAGUUAUGUGCCCUAGGGUCCGGAAUAGCCACGGGAAACUGUGGGUAAUGCCGGAUAACAUCCCCGGAUCAAAGGUGUGAUUCCGCCCUAGGAGCAGACUGCGUCCUACUAGCUAGUUGGUGGGGUAAUGGCCCACCAAGGCAAUGAUGGGUAGCGGGUGUGAGAGCAUGACCCGUCUCACUGGGACUGAGACACUGCCCAGACACCUACGGGUGGCUGCAGUCGAGAAUCUUCGGCAAUGGGCGAAAGCCUGACCGAGCGACGCCGCGUGCGGGAUGAAGGCCCUCGGGUUGUAAACCGCUGUCGUAGGGGAGGAAGGUUCCGUGAAGAGCGGAAUUUGACCUAUCCUGGGAGGAAGUACGGGCUAAGUUCGUGCCAGCAGCCGCGGUAAAAC
rnacentral:rRNA from 1 species